rnacentral:rRNA from 1 species
GAUGAACGCUGGCGGCGUGCCUAAUACAUGCAAGUCGAGCGAACGGACGAGAAGCUUGCUUCUCUGAUGUUAGCGGCGGACGGGUGAGUAACACGUGGAUAACCUACCUAUAAGACUGGGGUAACUUCGGGAAACCGGAGCUAAUACCGGAUAAUAUUUUGAACCGCAUGGCUCAAAAGUGAAAGACGGUCUUGCUGUCACUUAUAGAUGGAUCCGCGCUACAUUAGCUAGUUGGUAAGGUAACGGCUUACCAAGGCAACGAUGCAUAGCCGACCUGAGAGGGUGAUCGGCCACACUGGAACUGAGACACGGUCCAGACUCCUACGGGAGGCAGCAGUAGGGAAUCUUCCGCAAUGGGCGAAAGCCUGACGGAGCAACGCCGCGUGAGUGAUGAAGGUCUUCGGAUCGUAAAACUCUGUUAUUAGGGAAGAACGUAUGUGUAAGUAACUGUGCACAUCUUGACGGUACCUAAUCAGAAAGCCACGGCUAACUACGUG